AUUGAACGCUGGCGGCAUGCCUUACACAUGCAAGUCGAACGGUAACAGGUCUUUCGGGAUGCUGACGAGUGGCGAACGGGUGAGUAAUACAUCGGAACGUGCCUAGUAGUGGGGGAUAACUACUCGAAAGAGUGGCUAAUACCGCAUGAGAUCUAUGGAUGAAAGCAGGGGACCUUUGGGCCUUGUGCUACUAGAGCGGCCGAUGGCAGAUUAGGUAGUUGGUGGGAUAAAAGCUUACCAAGCCUACGAUCUGUAGCUGGUCUGAGAGGACGAUCAGCCACACUGGGACUGAGACACGGCCCAGACUCCUACGGGAGGCAGCAGUGGGGAAUUUUGGACAAAGGGCGCAAGCCUGAUCCAGCAAUGCCGCGUGCGUGAUGAAGGCCUUCGGGUUGUAAACUGCUUUUAUACGGAACGAAAAGCAUUGGGUUAAUACCCUGGGAUCAUGACGGUACCGUAAGAAUAAGCACCGGCUAACUACGUG
rnacentral:rRNA from 1 species